rnacentral:rRNA from 1 species
GACGAACGCUGGCGGCGUGCCUAAUACAUGCAAGUCUAACGCAGUGGGGACGGGUGAGUAACACGUGGGUAACCUCCCAUCAGAGGGGAUAACACUUGGAAAAAGGUGCUAAACCGAUAGUGAUGGAUGGUACCGGGGUGCAUUAGCUAGUUGGGGAGGUAACGGCUCCACAAGGCCACGAUGCAUAGCCGACCUGAGAGGGUGAUCGGCCACACUGGGACUGAGACACGGCCCAGACUCCUACGGGAGGCAGCAGUGGGGAAUCUUCGGCAAUGGGCGCAAGUCUGACCGAGCCACGCCGCGUGAGUGAAGAAGGUUUUCGGAUCGUAAAACUCUGUUGUUAGAGAAGCGUUAUCUAACCAGAAAGCAACGGCUAACUACGUGCCAGCAGCCGCGGUAAUAC